AUCCUGCCUGAUGGCAGAGGCAGGCUUCAAAUCUGUACAUAGGGGCUUCGCGGC
rnacentral:tRNA from 1 species